UCCGCCGCCUAAGGAUGGGUCUGCGGCCGAUUAGGUUGUUGUUGGGGUAACGGCCCAACAAGCCUGUAAUCGGUACGGGCUGUGAGAGAGGAAGCCCAGAGAUGGACUUUGAGACACGAGUCCAGGCCCUACGGGGCGCAGCAGGCGCGAAAACUUCGCAAUGGGGGAAAGCCCGACGAGGGAAUUCCAAGUGCUAGCACUUUGUGUUAGCUGUUCUUCUGUCUAAAAAACAGAGGGAGUAAGGGGCGGGUAAGACGGGUGCCAGCCGCCGCGGUAAUACCUGCAGCUCAAGUGGUGGCCACUAUUAUUGGGCCUAAAACGUCCGUAGCCGGUCUUCUAAAUCCUUGGGUAAAUCGGGCAGCUUAACUGUCCGAAUCCGGGGAGGACUGGGAGACUUGGGACCGGGAGAGGUCAGAGGUACUUCUGGGGUAGGGGUAAAAUCCUGUAAUCCUGGAAGGACCACCGGUGGCGAAGGCGUCUGACUAGAACGGAUCCGACGGUGAGGGACGAAGCCCUGGGGCGCAAACGGGAUUAGAUACCCCGGUAGUCCAGGGUGUAAACGCUGCGGGCUUGGUGUUGGGGGUCCUUAGUGGGCGCCCAGUGCCGGAGAGAAGUUGUUAAGCCUGCUGCUUGGGGAGUACGGUCGCAAGGCUGAAACUUAA
rnacentral:rRNA from 1 species